rnacentral:misc_RNA from 1 species
UACGGAGGAUCCAAGCGUUAUCCGGAAUCAUUGGGUUUAAAGGGUCCGUAGGCGGGUUAAUAAGUCAGUGGUGAAAGUCUGCCGCUCAACUGUAGAACUGCCAUUGAUACUGAUAACCUUGAGUUAUUAUGAAGUGGUUAGAAUAAGUAGUGUAGCGGUGAAAUGCAUAGAUAUUACACAGAAUACCGAUUGCGUAGGCAGAUCACUAAUAAUUUACCGACGCUGAUGGACGAAAGCGUAGGUAGCGAACAGG